CCCUGCAGGAGGAGAGGUUGCUGGGUGAGGAGAGGUCCCUGCAUACAGAGAGGUCGCUGCAUGCUCGGAUGGGGAGGUCCCUGUGAAUGGAGAGGCCUCUGCCCCUGUCUUCCCCAGCUUGGCUGUGGUGAC